UUGUCCGGAAUUACUGGGUGUAAAGGGAGCGCAGGCGGGAAGACAAGUUGGAAGUGAAAACCAUGGGCUCAACCCAUGAAUUGCUUUCAAAACUGUUUUUCUUGAGUAGUGCAGAGGUAGAUGGAAUUCCCGGUGUAGCGGUGGAAUGCGUAGAUAUCGGGAGGAACACCAGUGGCGAAGGCGGUCUACUGGGCACCAACUGACGCUGAGGCUCGAAAGCAUGGGUAGCAAACAGGAUUAGAUACCCUGGUAGUCCAUGCCGUAAACGAUGAUUACUAGGUGUUGGGGGAUUGACCCCCUCAGUGCCGCAGUUAACACAAUAAGUAAUCCACCUGGGGAGUACGACCGCAAGGUUGAAACUCAAAGGAAUUGACGGGGGCCCGCACAAGCAGUGGAGUAUGUGGUUUAAUUCGAAGCAACGCGAAGAACCUUACCAGGUCUUGACAUCCGAUGCAUAGCACAGAGAUGUGUGAAAUCCUUCGGGACAUCGAGACAGGUGGUGCAUGGUUGUCGUCAGCUCGUGUCGUGAGAUGUUGGGUUAAGUCCCGCAACGAGCGCAACCCUUAUUGCCAGUUACUACGUUAAGAGGACUCUGGCGAGACUGCCGUUGACAAAACGGAGGAAGGUGGGGAUGACGUCAAAUCAUCAUGCCCUUUAUGACCUGGGCUACACACGUACUACAAUGGCGUUAAACAAAGAGAAGCAAGACCGCGAGGUGGAGCAAAACUCAAAAACAACGUCUCAGUUCAGAUUGCAGGCUGCAACUCGCCUGCAUGAAGUCGGAAUUGCUAGUAAUCGCGGAUCAGC
rnacentral:rRNA from 1 species